AAUACCGGAUAUUAUGAGAUUCUCGCAUGAGAAAUUUAUGAAAGCUAUAUGCGCCAAGAGAGAGCCUUGCGUUCCAUUAGCUAGUUGGUGGGGUAACGGCCCACCAAGGCGACGAUGGAUAGCCGGCCUGAGAGGGUGAACGGCCACAAGGGGACUGAGACACGGCCCUUACUCCUACGGGAGGCAGCAGUGGGGAAUAUUGGACAAUGGGCCACAAGCCUGAUCCAGCAAUUCUGUGUGCACGAUGAAGGUCUUCGGAUUGUAAAGUGCUUUCAGUUGGGAAGAAGAAAGUGACGGUACCAACAGAAGAAGCGACGGCUAAAUACGUGCCAGCAGCCGCGGUAAUACGUAUGUCGCAAGCGUUAUCCGGAUUUAUUGGGCGUAAAGCGCGUCUAGGCGGAAAAAUAAGUCUGAUGUUAAAAUGCGGGGCUCAACUCCGUAUUGCGUUGGAAACUGUUUUUCUAGAGUACUGGAGAGGUGGGCGGAACUACAAGUGUAGAGGUGAAAUUCGUAGAUAUUUGUAGGAAUGCCGAUGGAGAAGUCAGCUCACUGGACAGAUACUGACGCUGAAGCGCGAAAGCGUGGGGA
rnacentral:rRNA from 1 species